UACAGAGGUGGCAAGCGUUGUUCGGAAUUACUGGGCGUAAAGGGCGCGUAGGCGGUCUUUUAAGUCUUGUGUGAAAUCCCUCGGCUUAACCGAGGAACUGCCAUCCAGACUGCUUUGCUUGAGGCCGGGAGAGGUGAGUGGAAUUCCCAGUGUAGCGGUGAAAUGCGUAGAUAUUGGGAGGAACACCAGUGGCGAAGGCGGCUCACUGGACCGGUUCUGACGCUGAGGCGCGAAAGCGUGGGGAGCAAACGGG
rnacentral:rRNA from 1 species